CAAAAGUCCUUGCAGAGUUCAUUGACUUUCUCCAAUUCCAGCAGGUGAAUUCUCAGGACCUGGAUUGCCUUCACCAUCUGAGGAGAGGAAGGGGAGCAGCACCAUCUUCUCUAUUGUCACUUCCAGCCUGCGAGCUUCUAGAAGAGAGAGAGGGUGUCUGAUUUGCUCACCAUGUUAUCCUUGGCACCAACACUCUGGACACUGAAUAAAUAUUUGUUGAAUGGGUAAAAAUUA